GACGAACGCUGGCGGCGUGCUUAACACAUGCAAGUCGAACGGAAAGGCCCUGCUUGCAGGGUACUCGAGUGGCGAACGGGUGAGUAACACGUGGGUGAUCUGCCCUGCACUUCGGGAUAAGCCUGGGAAACUAGGUCUAAUACCGGAUAGGUGCCAUUUUUAGUGUGAUGGUUGGAAAGUUUUUUCGGUGUAGGAUGAGCUCGCGGCCUAUCAGCUUGUUGGUGGGGUAAUGGCCUACCAAGGCGGCGACGGGUAGCCGGCCUGAGAGGGUGGACGGCCACAUUGGAACUGAGAUACGGGCCAGACUCCUACGUGAGGCAGCAGUGGGGAAUAUUGGACAAUGGGCGCAAGCCUGAUGCAGCGACGCCGCGUGGGGGAUGACGGCCUUCGGGUUGUAAACUCCUUUCGCUAGGGACGAAGCUUUUUGUGACGGUACCUAGAUAAGAAGCACCGGCUAACUACGUGC
rnacentral:rRNA from 1 species